UCCGGAACCCCGAAGACGGCUGUGGCGUUUUGAAGGCCAUUAGCAUUGCGGUCCUGAAGAUGCUUCCUCAAAUUCAUUCAAAGAGGAAGAGGAUAAAUUCCAAGACUGUCCAGAUGGCAAUAAAACAGCUUCUUAAAAGGAAAAUGCAGAUCACAAGAAUGUAGCAAAUAGCACCAUCCUGUGGUCUACUUGGAGCAUUGCAUCCCGGAUGCCACUCAAGAUGGCAUCCAUCCACAGAAUUCCCAGAUGGUCUCUAAUCCAGACACUGAUGAGGUCAAGGCCAACUGACUUUCAACGGAUCAAGAAUCUCUUACAAAUUUUAAUUCACCAGACCUUUGCAGGUGUAAGGCUAACUGUUCCUAUAGAUAAUGCACAUAGAUAUGGACUAAAAAUGUAACUGGAGCACAUAGACUUUUUGAUUUAUUUAUUGGAAAAAAUAAGAUGUGGUUAUACCCAGGUUAUGUUGUACACACUUAUAAACAAGUGUGAGAUUUCAGAUCCAAGGUAAGAAUUUGAACAUAUAUUAAAGUGACAAGGAUAAGUUUAUCCCAUGAUAGAGUGGAGCAUGUUAGAUGGUUGUAUGAUGGUUAACUGAUGCCCUCUCUGUAUGUUUUGCUGCCAUUUUUUUUCUUUUCUUUUUCUUUUAAUUUAAAUUGUGAUUUUAAUGGUUUUUAUGUGUUCUGUUUUAUUAUGUACGCAACCCAGAGUCAUCAUGUGAUAUG